UUUGCAUUUUUAUCUGGGACCAUAUGUGUAUGGGGUAGAUGCUUGAAGUGUCUUAUGUGUAUGGUGGGUCUCCCUUUGGCCUUUUUGCAUUGUGUUUUAGCAAAGCUAUGUUUCCUGAUUGUGUGUGUGUAUGAUGAAUGCCUUCAGCUGAUGACUGUGACAAGGUGAGUAAAGGGGUACUAGUGGCAGGGAGAGUGUGACAGGGCAAAGGGGGUAAAUGGACAGGGUGGGGGGUUGUGAGAGGGAAUGAGGGAGAGGGAGUAUGACAUGGUUUGGUGAGGAAGUGUGACACGGCGAGUGGAGGUAAGUGUGUCAGGGCAAUUGUGGCAUGA